UCCGAAAGGGGCUAGCGUUGUUCGGAAUUACUGGGCGUAAAGCGCACGUAGGCGGCACAGUAAGUUGGGGGUGAAAUCCCGGAGCUCAACUCCGGAACUGCCUUCAAGACUGCAGAGCUGGAGGAUGCGAGAGGUGAGUGGAAUUCCGAGUGUAGAGGUGAAAUUCGUAGAUAUUCGGAAGAACACCAGUGGCGAAGGCGGCUCACUGGCGCAUUUCUGACGCUGAGGUGCGAAAGCGUGGGGAGAAAACAGG
rnacentral:rRNA from 1 species